rnacentral:tRNA from 2 species
UGGCCCCAUCGUCUAGCCUGGUCUAGGACAACAGAUUUUCGAUCUGUGAACUGGGGUUCAAAUCCCCAUGGGGUCAA